rnacentral:rRNA from 1 species
GGGUAAUGGCCUACCAAGACGAUGAUGUGUAGCUGGACUGAGAGGUUGAACAGCCACAUUGGGACUGAGACACGGCCCAAACUCCUACGGGAGGCAGCAGUAGGGAAUUUUCGGCAAUGGAGGAAACUCUGACCGAGCAACGCCGCGUGAACGACGAAGUACUUUGGUAUGUAAAGUUCUUUUAUCAAGGAAGAAAAGCAAGUGGUGAACCAUUUGUUUGCCGGUACUUGAUGAAUAAGCCCCGGCUAAUUAUGUGCCAGCAGCCGCGGUAAGACAUAAGGGGCAAGUGUUAUCCGGAAUUAUUGGGCGUAAAGGGUGCGUAGGCGGUCUAGUAAGUCAGUGGUGUAAUGGCAACGCUCAACGUUGUCCGGCUAUUGAAACUGCUAAACUUGAGUUAGAUAGAGGCGAGUGGAAUUCCAUGUGUAGCGGUAAAAUGCGUAAAUAUAUGGAGGAACACCAGAGGCGUAGGCGGCUCGCUGGGUCUUAACUGACGCUGAGGCACGAAAGCGUGGGGAGCAAACAGGAUUAGAUACCCUGGUAGUCCACGCCGUAAACGAUGAGUACUAAGUGUCGGGUUAAACCGGUACUGAAGUUAACACAUUAAGUACUCCGCCUGAGUAGUACGUACGCAAGUAUGAAACUUAAAGGAAUUGACGGGACUCCGCACAAGCGGUGGAUCAUGUUGUUUAAUUCGAAGAUACCCGAAAAACCUUACCAGGUCUUGACAUGUUUUUGCGAAACGGUAGUAAUAUCGUGGAGGUUAUCAGAAACACAGGUGGUGCAUGGUUGUCGUCAGCUCGUGUCGUGAGAUGUUAGGUUAAGUCCUAAAACGAGCGAAACCCUUAUCGUUAGUUGCCAGCACGUUAUGGUGGGGACUUUAACGAGACUGCCAGUGAUAAAUUGGAGGAAGGUGAGGAUCACGUCAAAUCAGCAUGCCCCUUAUGACCUGGGCUACAAACGUGAUACAAUGGCUGUUACAAAGGGUAGCUGAAACGCAAGUUCUUGGCCAAUCCCCAAAAACAGUCUCAGUCCGGAUUGAAGUCUGCAACUCG